rnacentral:rRNA from 1 species
CCUACGGGUGGCAGCAGUGGGGAAUAUUGCGCAAUGGGCGCAAGCCUGACGCAGCGACGCCGCGUGAGGGAAGAAGGCUUUCGGGUUGUAAACUUCUUUUGACAGGGAAGAGUAGAAAACGGUACCUGUCGCAUAAGCAACGGCUAACUACCUGCCAGCAGCCGCGGUAAUACGUAGGUAGCAAUCGUUGUCCGGAUUUACUGGGUGUAAAGGGCGUGUAGCCGGGUUGACAAGUCAGAGGUGAAAUCCUGCGGCUUAACCGCAGAACUGCAUUUGAAACUGUUGAACUGGAGUACUGGAGAGGCAGACGGAAUUCCCAGUGUAGCAGUGAAAUGCGUAGAUAUUAGGAGGAACACCAGUGGCGAAGGCGGUCUGCUGGACAGUAACUGACGGUGAGGCGCGAAAGCGUGGGGAGCAAACAGGAUUAGAUACCCUAGUAGUC